AGAGGGUGACGGAGUUGGGCCCAAGCUGGCUGCAGCUGAUGGUGAAGGAGGAGCACCAGCUGAUAUUGGUGCAGUAGGCUGGCUGCGCUGGAAGAAGGGCUGAACCCUGCUGGACCGGGCCCUUCUGCUCCUGCGUUACCGCUUCCUGAACCUGAGUCUCCAGUUCCGGAGUCGCCUUCACCAUUGCUACCUCCGCCUGCGGCACCAGUUGUUCAGCCUCCAGUGGAUACGGCUACUCCUUUGGCCCAGGGUGCUGGCGGGGCGGCGGUCCCGGUCCGAGUCCUGAUGUGUGGCCAUUCGUUGGUCUUCUGGGCUUUCAAGCGGGCCAGCACCACCCGCUGGGGAUCCCAGUUGGGUUUAGGAAGCAAGGCUUCAGUUUAUUGGUUGGGCAUGAGGGGCAUGCUCUGGAAUCAGUUGCUUCCAGCAUUGAGGGAGCAUUUAGAUAGGUUUCCCAUUCCCGACAUCCUGGUUCUUCAUUUAGGGGAGAAUGAUUUGGGCCGGCGGCCUGGCCUCGCCAUCCUUCAGCAAGCCUCCUCGGAUUUGUCUAUUUUGCGCAGCUGGAUGCCUGGCGUCCGCAUAAUAUGGGUUAAUUGGCUCCAGCGCAGGGUGUGGCGGGGUGCUCAUUCUUGCCUUAGCUUGGAAAAGGCACGCAGGAAGAUUUCAGCCGCAAUAGGUAAAGUGGUUUUGGCGGCCGGGGGGUCUGUGGUGCGGCAGCCAGAUAUAGCUGCUCGCUUUCCCGAGUUAUUCCGCCCUGACGGGGUCCACCUGUCUGAGAAAGGUUGUGAUUUGUAUCUGCAUAAUAUCCGGGAAGUGCUUGCUGAAGGUUUGGAGGGGGUGGGGCAGGAAGGUCAAGCGAGGGCUAACCUUCCUGGGUGGCGGUAACAGUGCGGGCUGUGGGUAAGGAGGUCUAGAUUUCGGUGAGCACCCUUGGACAUUUUAAGGUGGAUUGGUCAAUUGCUUCCUUGUGGCCUGUGCGGCACGGGAAGAAUUACAUUGCCAAGAAACCUGCUUCAGGACUUCACCUACCUUUGGGCUGUGCGGUCCGGGGAGGUAAAGAUCUGAAGCUGUCCAGAUCCCCUCUUCUAAAAGGGGUGGUUGGCUUUGAAGGAAUUGGGCGGGAGCUACCUGCCUCUUUCCUGAGCCAGGGUGUGUCGCCCUUGCAGGCGAUGGGUAGGACGUUUUGAAUCCUAGCCCACGCCUAGGUGCCCGCACUGUUUUUAUGUUGGUGAUUAAUCACCUUGUUUCCAGUCCGCCACAAAUGUUGUUAUAUUAAUAAAGCGUGGCCCGUUUCUCCCAUUAAAAAAUGUCUCUGUGUCUUCUUGGGCUGGGGUCUGGGUACAAUCCCCCUCCCCUUGCCUCGUGCAAGUGGGAGGGUGUUUGUCCCAGCCCGGGACUCACGAGCCCAAGAAGAAGCCUGAUUGGUUGGCUGGCUCGUGGUGGGCGGGGCUUGCUGAGAGGCCGAGCGUUUCCCCGCUCUGGCCUCUCAGUCGGCUGUUUGUUUCCCCCUCCCUCCCUCCCUGUUGCAGAGCGGGUCUAGUGACUGGUCGCCUAUGGGCCGAGUAGGAAUUUUUUGCUCUCAACUUAUUGGCUGUUGUUGGGGUUUUUUUCGCCUACUCUGUUCUGCAGUCAGUUGGUAGUUAGGUUCUAGGUUGGCCAUGUUGGCGGUAACAGUGCGGGCUGUGGGUAAGGAGGUCUAGAUUUCGGUGAGCACCCUUGGACAUUUUAAGGUGGAUUGGUCAAUUGCUUCCUUGUGGCCUGUGCGGCACGGGAAGAAUUACAUUGCCAAGAAACCUGCUUCAGGACUUCACCUACCUUUGGGCUGUGCGGUCCGGGGAGGUAAAGAUCUGAAGCUGUCCAGAUCCCCUCUUCUAAAAGGGGUGGUUGGCUUUGAAGGAAUUGGGCGGGAGCUACCUGCCUCUUUCCUGAGCCAGGGUGUGUCGCCCUUGCAGGCGAUGGGUAGGACGUUUUGAAUCCUAGCCCACGCCUAGGUGCCCGCACUGUUUUUAUGUUGGUGAUUAAUCACCUUGUUUCCAGUCCGCCACAAAUGUUGUUAUAUUAAUAAAGCGUGGCCCGUUUCUCCCA